rnacentral:rRNA from 1 species
GAUGAACGCUGGCGGCGUGCCUAAUACAUGCAAGUCGAGCGAACGGACGAGAAGCUUGCUUCUCUGAUGUUAGCGGCGGACGGGUGAGUAACACGUGGAUAACCUACCUAUAAGACUGGGAUAACUUCGGGAAACCGUAGCUAAUACCGGAUAAUAUUUUGAACCGCAUGGUUCAAAAGUGAAAGACGGUCUUGCUGUCACUUAUAGAUGGAUCCGCGCUGCAUUAGCUAGUUGGUAAGGUAACGGCUUACCAAGGCAACGAUGCAUAGCCGACCUGAGAGGGGGAUCCGCCCCACUUGAACUUGAGCACCGUUCAGACUCCCACGGGAGGGCAGAGUUGGGGAUCUUUCCCAAUGGGCCGAAGGCUGACCGAGCCAACCCGCGGGGGUUAAUGAAGGCCUCCGGUUGUUAAAACCUUUUUUUUGGGAAAAAACUUAUUGGUAGUUACCUUUGACAUUUUGGCGGUACCCUAACAAGAAGGCCCGGCUUACUUCCUU